UACGGAGGGGGCUAGCGUUGUUCGGAAUUACUGGGCGUAAAGCGCGCGUAGGCGGACCUGCAAGUCGGGGGUGAAAGCCCGAGGCUCAACCUCGGAACUGCCUUCGAUACUGCGGGUCUCGAGUCCGGGAGAGGUGAGUGGAAUUCCUAGUGUAGAGGUGAAAUUCGUAGAUAUUAGGAAGAACACCAGUUGGCGGAAAGGCGGCUCACUGGCCCGGUACUG
rnacentral:rRNA from 1 species